UUCACUUUUCGUUUUAUGUGUGGUUACUUCAGCAAUUGUGUUCUAACUUCUAAGUAUGUCAUGUUCUCUUUGUUUCUUUAAUUUUUACAUUUUUGGUGCAUUGUCUUGAAUCUUGAUUGAUAUUCCAUGGGUUCAAUUUUCUGUUUGUUAGAUUUAUUUAUGUGAAUUCUCCAUGCAUUUUCGGUGCAUCUAAAGAAUUUGUGCUUUUUGUGUUUUCUCCAUGCAUUUUAGGUGCAUCUAAAGAAUUUGUGCUUUUUGUGUUUGGAUUGAAUAAGUAUAACUAGUAAGUUGCGGGUAUUCUUUUUAUUUUUUGUAUGCAUAUUUCAACAGUUUUUUUU
rnacentral:lncRNA from 1 species